rnacentral:lncRNA from 1 species
UGCCUUCCAAAAUGACAAAGAAUAACGAGGAUAAGUCCUCCAAAAAUAGAAAAAUCCUAUGAUUCCUCGGUAAUUAUUUCAGCUACCAAAAGCUUAUCUUUUGGGUUUGUCGAAGAGAGAGGGAGAGAGAGAGUGGGGAUGAGGAUAAUAUACUCUGCCACAUGCUUUUUUUUUUAGUCUGUGGAUUAUACCUUUCUUUUGGUUUCAAAAACCCGAAUUCAGAUUUCUAUUUUUCCUUUAAGUUCAUCUUCGUAUGAAAUCCUAUUAGAAGGAUAAAUGUUGUUGUGUUUUUGUGGAUGCUACAUAUUUAAGUGUGUUUGUUCGGGAAAAUUAGACUAAUUUUGUUUUCAUUACAUUAUGUAUUGUCUGUACAUGAGCUAAGGAUUCCCAGUAAUCUUUCUUGUUCGGUAUUAUCAAGAAGGUAGGGAUGAAGUUACACUCAUUAUUCUUUCAGAAAUAGGAUUAGGGAUGAGAUAACGCGUCAUAAUCGCUUAUCUCCGUCCUUAAAUACCCAUUGUCAAGAAUUAACUGAUUAAGUGGUUUCCAUAUUUAAUUGUUGCUCUAAAGAUUUUUACUCGAACAUUUGUUGCUUGUUACUCUUUGAAGUUUAGUUUACUCACAUAAUCGAUUUGGAGACAGUAUUCCUAGACUCCCUCUUGCGUCACUUUGGAGUAGUCUUCGUCUGUUGGGUGACGUCUGUACAGGGAUUUCAUGUAUACUCAUGUGAAUAGAAAGACGUUCUUGCCUCACAGGCCCUCUUCCCAGUUUUCAUUUUCUUCCCUUUAAUAUUUAUUUAACAGGACCAUGAAAUCACUGUGAGUUCAAAUUCAAUAGAGCCUUUAAGCCUUUUUUCUUGUGGAAGAAGGCCAUGGGUAUAUGUUUCGUUAUAUUGUGAUAGAACCUAGUCUACACUUAUCUAAAAAUUCUUGAUUUUGAUUAUUUUCUUUGAGGAGUACAGGAUUGGAUUGUUUCUCGUACUAUCUGUAUGUAGUGUUUUCCUUCUCUAUUUGAUCCUAUCCCAUGUUAAAUGCCUUUGUUUGAAAUCUGGGAUAAUUAGUCUUUCGCAGGCUGGGAGUGUUAAAAUUUGAUUUGAUAUAGUAAGAAUCAUCACCACAUGUUGGAACCAUGCUUUUGGUAUAAAAUCUCCCUUAAGAACUUGUGCAGGGAAUUCUUUAUCCUUCUGUGACCUUUUGUUUAUUGUAUUCACUGUUUUGUCCAUGAAUAUAUCUUCACCUCUUAACUAGAUUAUCUAGGUAUGUUCAAACCAUGCGCAAUAUAACUUAUUGAAUUAAGCGAGAAGUUAUUUUCAUUCUAGUUGCCUCAUUCUGUUCGGAUUGUUAUAUGAACCCGUCUAGGAUUUGCAUCGUAUCGAUUGACUCUCAUUCUUAUCAUGUGCAUAAGUGUGUGCAUCAUUAUCAUUCAAAACUUAAUCCUUAAUGUUUCUUUAUUUUGAGGUAUGUUAUGUCUCGAAUGGGCAUUAAUUUAUUCAUCUUUUCUUUGCAUGAACUCUCUUCGGAGUCCAAUUGGACUCUUUUCCUUUGUAUUGCACAACACACCAGUGAGGCCCACCCUUUAGGAGAAUUUGGAUAUCAACCUCAUAGAAUAUGGAUACAAGGAGUCAAAAGGAGAAGAAGGGGUUAAAGUCCCACAUUUGAAGCGGCUACGAGACCCGAAAGUCGCGUUUGUUAUUUACCUAUUGUCGUCUUUAUUUAUGAAUUCAUUUCUUAUUUAUUUGGGCCUCGAAGCCAAUGUUGUAUUUAAUACAGGUGGAGCAAGACUCGAGCCAAAGGCUCGAAAAAUAGUUUAGGACAGGUGAAAUGGUAGUUAAAAUUCCUACUAAGUUGCCUAAAUCUAUUUUACACAAGUCUUUUUUUUGAAAAAAAAUCAAAUCACUAUUUCAACAAAUUAAUCUUUUCGAAGUUAUUCAAAAGAUGAUUUUCAAACAGUCCGGAUAACCGCAAGUUAGCGGACGUUUUAGGUGCCUAACACCUUCCUAAAAUGUUAAUAGGAACCACUUAUCCAGAAUCUCUUAACUUAAACGAUUUUUGUAUUUUAGAUCGUUUAAAGUGUUUUAUAAAUGUUUCUUAAUUCCUUUUCAAAAUUAAGUGGUGACUCUCUUUCAAAAGUCAAAAUUUCUCCGCAAAACAGAAAUGGCGACUCUGCUGGGGAUUUUGAACUAGGUUCUAAUCAAAUGUUUGAUUUCGUCUUUUGAUUAACUGUUUAUGUGUUUCGAUUCUGUAGAAUUUAAAUAUCGCAUCUCUUGGCAUAUUCCUACAUUAUUUAAAUUAUUUUGGGGUUUCGUGGGUAUCCCGGCCCCUAUUGAUCAAUUCCAAAAAUGUGUUGGAAAUACAAAUAAUUUAUUAGCACGUGAGUCAUCUGAUGGUUGUUUCUAUUUUCAAACUCAAGUUGUCCGCUUGAGAACUAGUGUUCAAACCCACUCUAGAUACCUAGGAUAGAGUGAAACCAAAACCCUAUUUCAGGCAUGAGCCAAGGAUGACCCAGUACCCGAGCGGGGUAUUGGGCCCAUUAGAAAACCUGCCCUGCGUCUAUUGAACCCGAUUCAAUUAUAGACGAACCAUAUUUAUGUGUUGAAGAAAAUGUAUGCGUGUCUAAUUCAAUCCAUUAUCCUUUAGGGGUAGGGAAAAAGCUUGAUUUGCUUACUUUUAUAAGAAGAAUUGAAGCAAGAUAAGCAAGAAAUUGAUCGAUUUGGGAUGUUGCAUCUAAGGCACAGUUUGAACGUCAACGGAUGUCACCAAUAAAAGAAGUGGACAAAGCUAAGAAGGCGAAGGUUUAUAGAAGAAGCACUCAAGAAUUAGUAUUUCCUAUCCCCUGUGUGGGAACGUGUCUUCUUUCAUGUUAUUUCCCUUUCCCUAAAGAUUGUAUCCCUAUUUUGUUAUCGUUUGUAAGCAUUUAUACCCUUUUUCUGUCUAUAUAAGUUGGAGGUUAAUGGAUUGACUUUGAGGAAUCAUAUAUUUUCUUCAAAAAUCGUUAGGCCUGAACCCUUGGCUCAAAAGGGUCACCCCAGCUAGGAUACAUGUUAUUAUAACGUUUUUGUGUGUUAUAACUGUCUCAUGUGCUUAUGUGCGUAUAUUUGAAUCAAAGAAAAGUUUAUCCACUAUGUCCUAUGGAUGAACUUGGCUAUGACUCAAACAACUCUAUGUGGUUAUUUCAUAUCAAAUAUUUUCCAUUAUUUAUCAUAUACGGAAACUAACAUAUCUGCCUUUGAGUUAUUUUACUUUAUAGAUAAUAGAAAUUACUCUAUGUUGAUAUAAGUUGGCAGAACAUCCCUACUUCACCCAAUCGAAAGUGCACAAAAUCCCAUCCUCUGACCAUCAUCCAGAAAUGACAGGAAAUGACGAAGAAAAUGCACUGACUAUCCGGGAUAAUGUGAUAGCGGAAUAGAAUGAGAUGAUUGCGGAACUUACAAGAAAGUUAGAAAUGCUUCAGGAGGAAAUAAAUCUCACUCGGGAUUUGGCUAACUUGUCCAUCACCAUCAAUUCUCCCGCUCUGGGAGAACACAGGACUCCACUUCAAACUUCUCCCGUCAGCACCCCUAUUCUCGGGGAUCAGCCAAAUAAUGUAUCGUCCGUCUCUGCUCCUCCAUUCAUCCAAAAUACCAAUCAUGAAAAUAACCCAGAUGCCUACCAUCCGUAAAAUCCAUCUCUAACCCCACAAAAUCCGUCUCUGAAUACAUUCCCAAAUCCUCAAAACACAUUUUCAAAUCAGCAAAAUGCAUUCCUAAAUCCACAAGAUUCACUCCCAAACCUACAAAAUAUAUCAAAUCUACCUUUGAAUCCACCAAGUUCAUUUUCAAAUCCUCAAAAUCUUUCUCAUAUUCCGCCAAACUACUCGCAAGGUCCACGAAACCUUCCCAAUUUCCAAAAUGUCGUCCCCACUUACCAACCAAAUUCCCCUCAUCUGUAAAAUCAAGCCUCCCUUCCAAAUCCUCCUCACGCCAUCAUAUUCCCUUAUAUCUACAAUUCCUUUCCUUAUAUCGAGAUAGACCAUUACGAGGAUAAGGAUAAAGAGUGGAGGACCAAGCAUGAACUGAAGUUGCUAGCUAUGAAUGAAGAGAUCAUGAGGAUCAAAGUAUCUCAUGGAGUGAGGGACCACGACGAUUUAGGGUAUGAUGAUUUAUGUGUUCACCCACGAGUAGACCUACCAGAUGGGUAUAAAUUCCCUAAGUUUAAGAUGUUUGACGGUACCAAAAAUCCAAUGGCCCAUCUGAGAAGGUACUGUGAGCAACUGGUAGGGAUAGGGAAAAUGAGGCGUUAUUGAUGCGCCUAUUCAGUCGGAGUUUAAGUGGCGAAGCCUUGGAGUGGUUCAUGUCUCAGGAGCCAAAAAAGUGGACUGGUUGGAAAGUAUUGGCCAAGGGUUUCCUUAAUCGGUUCGCAUUCUAUAUUGAAAUAGUCUCUGAACGAUAUUCACUAGAUUGGAUCAAACAAAAGAAUGAUGAGAGUUUUCGAGACUAUGCUUUUCAUUGGAGAAAAGAGGCUGCUAAAGUACAACCUCCCAUAUCUGAGGAAGAAAUGGUAUCAGUUUUCUCUCAUGCACAGGAAGAAGAAUUUUAUACCAGGAUGGUAUCCGCGGUCCGAGCAACUUUCACAGAUUUAGUAAAGAUUGGGGAAUCAUUAGAGGAAGGCAUCUGAACAGGAAAAAUUGCCAAAAUCCCAACAUCAUCUGAAUCUUCUACAUUUUCAAAGAAGAAAAUUCAAGCCUAUAAAUAUUCUUUCCUCAUCAUCAUCACCAAGUUUUCAGCCUAUAUUCUGCGCUCAACCCCAAUGUCAAGCUCCAAAUCCAAAUAUUUUACCCCAGUACCAAGUUCCACAACUAAAUUAUCAGCCUCAUACUCAAGCUACUUUUCCAAAUAACCAAAUAAACGUCCAAACAUCUCCAAAUUAUCAUUAAGUACCUCCCUCCAUAAAUAAGAAUCAUUAUAACCCUCCAUAAAUAAGAAUCAUUAAGUACCUCCAUUGUCAAGCUCUUGUACCAGUCAUUUCCCAUACAUGAGAUGUCAAAUGAUGAUGGUCUUGGGGAUAGGAUAGGAGACCUAUUUGAAGGAUGCAAUGCUCUACCAGAUGAUUUCCCAAUGUCUGAUCAAAUGAAGAAGGUCGCACAUGGAGAAACUUUACAAAAUUGGACUUCCACUUCGCUCCUAAUUCAUCGCCCGUCGCGGUAGAUGAAAGGACAAUUACUAAUAAUUUUUAAAAUCGAUGAUGAUCCGAAGGAGGCCCUGUGAUCCACCCUUUUAUGUCUGAAAUUUUUGUUUUGUGUUUUACAACUUUCAAAAAGGCAUGGGCCCACAUUUGUGUGGGUCAUAAGCCAUAGUUUUUAUUUAUUUUUCCAAAAGGUAUCCCUUUAUUUAAGAAGUUAUUUUUUAAAUAUGAUUAUCUAGUAUGGUUUAUUUUGGUAGCAAUAAUUUAAAAAUCUUCCAAUGUCAUGUCAUGUCAAGGGUUAGACAAACAAGGCGAAGGAAAUAAUGAUGAACAGAAAGUUAUAGUUUUUAUUUCUGGGCUUAUUUGUAAUGGCCUUUAUAAUAGUAUCAAUUUUAUGAUGUGUAAUCGCCUAGAACCCUUUCCCUCUAUUUACGAACUACGUUUGACCAGAAUUCCCAAGAAAGGGAUACGUAGGUGGCCUAUGUCGGCUUCGGUCAACCCCUUAGAGAAAUUUAUCCUUUCUUUUUAUGUAUGAACUACGUGAUGACCUGAAUUCCCGAGAAAGGGAUAUGUAGGCGGCCUAUGUCGGCUUCGGUCAACCCAUUAGAUUUUCUAUAUAUAUCCUUAGCGUAGGCCUGAACUAUGUUUGACCUGAUUACUGCUUUAACGGCAUACGUAGGCACCCCAACGGCUCAGUCAUAUAAGCCCAGGAAAGGAAAACUGGGGCAGAAUUUUUGAGAAGAAAUAUCGAAAAUUCACAAGAGAAGAUCGACAUCCAACAAAAAGAAUGAAGAUCAGCAAAGACUUCAGAUCCACUUGGAUUGGUAUCAUCUCAAACAACUUUAAACUGGGGCAGAAAUUUUGAGGAAGACCUUAAAAUUUCCACCAAAUUCCUGAACAUACUCCAAAUUACCCAGCACUAGAGGUUAAGGCUUUGGAAGCCACCAACUAUAACAAAGUCUAGGUAGACUCAAUUUUUGGCUAUGAUAGAACUACUUGAAGAAACCCUCCAACAAUGAUCAUGAGUUUUGGAAACCAUCCGUCAAAUAUAGUCAAAACCACGAGGAAGACAUUCAUUGAGCUAGUACAUGACAUGACUAGCAGAGAUUUUCUAAAGUUUUACAGAAGUUUUCAAAAUUAUUUUCUAAAAUUUAAGACUAUUUUCCAAAAAUCUUACGACUCACUUAUUUAGUAUUUUUCUUGACAUCAUUUGGGAUGGAGUGUCAGGGUGGAAGUCCCGAUAUGGUGGAAUACCCAAGGGAUGGAAAAGAGAAAAUCAAGGAUCGAAGGAGGUCAACACGGAGUAAUUUCAUUCAAACUAAUCAUUUUUUUGUGGAUGCAGGGUUCAAUAUAAAAAAUGAGGGUUUCUUUCAAAAAUCCCCGAGCAGAAUAGGAGCCACAAUAGAGCAUUAAUACCCAAGAACGGUAUUUUAGGGUAGCCCUAAAAAUAGGUUUAACGCCCAUUUAUUGAGGACCUUUUGAUUUGUCCAUCUUAUUUCUCGAGAUCGUAGGCGACAAACAAAAACUCUUUGUAUUCUUUACACAUAUCGUAUUUAAAAAUUUUCCUAAAAAUAGUCGCUAGUAAAAGUGACUUUGUGUCUACUAAUCGUCUACCUUGAGUACAUGUACAUGUAGAAAGCAGGACGCUGACAAAUGAAAUCAGGUAAAAUUAACAUCAUAGCCGUAAGGCAUUGCCUCAAGGGCUAUUGCAUAUCAUCGCUACAAUGGCUAUUGCAUAUCAUCGCCAUAAUGGCUAUUGUAUAUCAUCACCACAAUGGCUAUUGCAUAUCAUUGCCACAAUGGCUAUUGCAUAUCAUUGCUACAAUGGCUAUGGCUAUUGCAUAUCAUAGCCACAAUGGCUAUUGCUUAUCAUCGCCACAAUGGCUAUUGAAUAUCAUCGCCACAAUGGCUAUUGCAUAUCAUCGCCACAAGGGCUACUGCAAUCAUCGCCAUAAUAGCUAUUGCAUAUCAUCGCCACAAUGGCUAUUGCAUAUCAUCUCCACAAUGGCUAUUGUAUAUCAUCACCACAAUGGCUAUUGCAUAUGAUCGCCACAAUGGCUAUUGCAUAUCAUCGCCACAAGGGCUAUUGCAUAUCAUCGCCCCAAGGGCCAUUACAUAUCAUUACCGCAAAGGCCAUCUCAUACCAUCGCCCUAGAAGGCAUUCAAUAUUUGUUAACAUGCUAGACAAAAACACUAUCAUUGAGGAUAUCUCAUCAUUUCAUAAAUCAGCAUAUGAAUGCAUCAAGGGUACACGAUUUGAAGGGACGCCUUUAAGUCGCUAUCUAAGGAUGAAUGAUAUAUAAGGUUUCCUGGAAAUUGACAAUUUAAGAGAUUAUCUAUAAGUCAUAUUAUUUGAAAUAGGAUAGUGUGCAAGAUCACCUAUGAGUUGAUAGCCUGUAGGCCAUCUGUAAGCCACAACAACAUACUAACCAGAUAGUGUGCAAGAUCGCCCAAAAAUCGAUAGUUCAAAGGUUAUCCAUAAGUCACAACUAAAUCCUUACCAAAAAAUAUGCAAUAUUAUCAAAUUGAUACGUCCAAGGGUUCUCUAUAAGCCGCGUCAUAUCCAAGAUCGAUUAUGUACAGGAUUACCCAAAUACUAACAAUUUUUGAGAGAUUAUCUGUAAGUCAUAUUGUAUCCAAGGUUGGAUGAUGUGCGGGAAUACCUGAAAGCUAGCGAUUAGAGGGAUAUCUGUAAGCCAUCUCUUAUCUAAAGUCAGAUAAUGUGCAGGAUUACCUAAAAGCUAGAAAUUCAAAGGAUAUCUGUAAGUCGCCUCGUAUCCAAUAUCAAAUAAUACACAAGAUUAUCCAAAGAUUGAUAAUUUAAGGAAAAUUUAUAAAUCGAUCAUCAGUUGUAACCGGAGAGGUUAUCAUUCCACAUACAACAAGUGAUAUAGGUAACCAAAAGGGUUGCCACUCCAACACAAGAUUACACGGUUUUUGAAUUUUACGGAGUAUUGAAUUUUUUAUCAAGGAUUAUUUUGAAAAUAAAUUCAAAUGGUUGAAAAAUCUUGAUUUAAGUAUAAUUUAUUCUUAAAAUUAAUUUAGUUGGAAAAUAUAUGUUUGAUUUUAUCAAAUCAAGAAGCUUGGGAUUAAAUGAGGUAUCAAUUUGUAUCGAGUAUCGAUUUAAUUUUGUCAAUCUAUUAAACUGACUAUAAUUGAAAUAAAAUUGGCUUCAAUUGCAAUGCAAUUGGCCAAUUGACUUCAAUUUGGUUAAAAUUUAAAUGGAUUUGACUAAUUCUUAAUUUGAUUGGGGUUAUCAAUUAAAUAACCCCAAUUUUAGUUUAUUCUUAUUUUUAAAUUACCAGCCCACUCUUCAAAUUAACAAGCCCAAGCCCAAUCUUCUUUUGACUUUGCUAAAUUAGCCCUAAAUUUCCAGCAGCCCAACGCCCCUAGGCCCACACCAACAAACACACUCGGCCUAAACCUUCUCCUCUUCUACAUUCAAUUAACAACAGCUUCACCAUUGACAAUUCUCAACCCAGCAACUCCUCUCAACCCUUUAACCAGACACCAGCCAAAAUCCAACUAAAAUCAAAUCCAACACUAAGCAAACAUCAACGGCGAAAUGGGUUUCAACCUGAUCCCAACUCGAAUCGGCCCUGUUUGAGCCAACCCAACCCUAACCCGAUAAGGUUUUCUCUCAAUGUGUGUGCAUGCCCAGCACGAGAUAAGAACAUCGAAUGUUCUAGAGGGUGCUACAUGUUAGCUUCCAAUUAACUCCUCAAUUGCUAACCGUUCAAAAUUCGAAUCUCUCAACAACUUGGUAUGAUUUUUAGUACAAAUUACAGCUCAACCUUAUCCCAUCCUUCAAAUUUCAAAUUCAUGAUUUCUCCCUUUUUCAAAUUCCUAGGGGAAACCCUAAUUCAUCUCCUAUAAAAAGGGCCUUUGAGGUCACUGUUUGGGUUUUUUUUUUGGCUCAAAGGUUCUUUUGAAGGUUGAUUUUUUUUCCAGAAAAUUGGUUCUUUCGAUUCUCUUGGGGUUCAAAAAUCAGAGUUUCUUUGGGGAGCUACUAUUUUUGGGGAUUUUCUUUGGGGGGUCCUAAAGGGGGUUCGAAAUUAGGGUUGUAGAAAGCUGUGGGUUAAACAUUUUGAAAAAAAAAAAAGAAAGAAAGAUUCUUGAGGAGACUCAGUCUCAAAUAUAAAUUCUAUUCUUAUUUCGGAAGCUCUUCAGCUAAAUUAGAGUGUUGAGUUGAUAGUGAAGAUGACAUUUUCUGGUGGUCCCGCUGAUAGCUCGUUAUCCCGUUUUGCUGCCCCAAAGAAGAUGAACACUCAUUUACCAUUUAUUUCGUUAUUUUACUUUCUCUGCUUCAUCUCAUUUUCUAGUAAAAUCAUAGUUUUGUUUGCUGGGUUAUGUGUUGUAGAAGUCUCAAAGACAAUAGGUAUUGUUUUUGAUGAAAAAUGUUGAAUGAAUUGUUAUGUUAGAAUUAAUCUAUGUUCAGGUUUGUUUUCGGUCGACCUUUUUACUUUGGUGUCAUGAUUUGUCGCCCACUCUUGGUGUUAUUGAGUUAUUUUUAGCCUGUGCUUCACUCAGUGUAUGGAUGGUGAUUGGAAGGGCUGGUUUGUUAGGCAAAGUUUGUGACUUUGAUUGUAUUCCAUAGUUUUAGUCGGCGAUAUUUGGCUUGUAGUUGUUAUCUGAUCGUUUUUGUUCAGGAUCAUUGCUGGAUUAUGGUGUCAUUGUUGAACUAGAAGUGUUGCUAGCAGAGCUACCUCUCAAGUUUCUUUGGCUUCUUAUGUUCCAAAAAGACAAUGAGCAAGGUCCAAAAUAUGCUAGAAAAUCCUAGGAUUCCUCGACGACUAUUUUGUUAGAGUUGGUCGGAGCGAGGAGAAAGAUAGAGACAAUAUUCCGUUUGGCUUGCUUUUGUUGUUUUUCGUUAUUAUAACUGUUGUACUGAUAGUAUCGUUAGUAGGACUUCCUCUUGAGUUCUUCUGUUGUACUGAUAGUAUCGUUAGUAGGACUUCCUCUUCAGUUCUUUGUCUUCCAAAAUGAUAAAGAAUAACGAGGAUAAGUCCUCCAAAAAUAGAAAAAUCCUGUGAUUCCUCGGUAAUUAUUUUGGCUACAAAAAUCUUAUCUUUUGGGUUUGUCGAACAGAGAGAGAGAGUGAGGAUGAGGAUAAUAUACUCUGCCACAUGCUCUUUUUUUAGUCUGUGGAUUAUACCUGUCUUUUGGUUUCAAAAACCCAAAUUCAGAUUUCCAUUUUUCCUUUAAGUUCAUCUUCGAUAUGGAAUCCUAUUAGAAGGAUAAAUGUUGUUGUGUUUUUGUGGAUGCUGCACAUUUAAGUGUGUUUGUUCGGGAAAAUUAAACUAAUUUUGUUGUCAUUACAUUAUGUAUUGUCUGUACAUAAGCUAAGGAUUCCCAGUAAUCUUUCUUGUUCAGUAAUAUCAAGAAGGUAGGGAUGAAGUUAUACUCAUUUUUCUUUCAGAAAUAGGAUUAGGGAUGAGAUAACGUGUCAUAAUCGCUUAUCUCCGUCCUUAAAUACCCACUGUCAAGAAUUAACUGAUUAAGUGGUUUCCAUAUUUAAUUGUUGCUCUAAAGAUUUUUACUCGAACAUUUGUUGCUUGUUACUCUUUGAAGUUUAGUUUGCUCACAUAAUCGAUUUGGAGACAGUAUUCCUAGACUCCCUCUUGCGUCACUUUGGAGUAGUCGUCGUCUGUUGGGUGACUCUGUACAGGGAUUUCAUGUAUACUCAUGUGAAUAGAAAGACGUUCUUGCCUCACAGGCCCUCUUCCCAGUUUUCAUUUUCUUCCCUUUAAUAUUUAUUUAAUAGGACCAUGAAAUCAUUGUGAGUUCAAAUUCGAUAGAGCCUUUAAGCCUUUUUUCUUGUGAAAGAAGGCCAUGGGUAUAUGUUUCGUUAUAUUGUGAUAGAACCUAGUCUACACUUAUCUAAAAAUUCUUGAUUUUGAUUAUUUUCUUUGAGGAGUACAGGAUUGGAUUGUUUCUCGUACUAUCUGUAUGUAGUCUUUUCCUUCUCUAUUUGCUCCUAUCCCAUGUUAAAUGCCUUUGUUUGAAAUCUGGGAUAAUUAGUCUUUCGCGGGCUGGGAGUGUUAAAAUUUGAUUUGAUAUAGUAAGAAUCAUCACCACCUGUUGGAACCAUGCUUUUGGUAUAAAAUCUCCCUUAAGAACUUGUGCAGGGAAUUCUUUAUCCUUCUGUGACCUUUUGUUUAUUGUAUUCACUGUUUUGUCCAUAAAUAUAUCUUCACCUCUUAACUAGAUUAUCUAGGUAUGUUCAAACUAUGCGCAAUAUAACUUAUUGAAUUAAGCGAGAAGUUAUUUUCAUUCUAGUUGCCUCAUUCUGUUCGGAUUGUUAUAUGAACCCGUCUAGGCUUUGCAUCGUAUCAAUUGACUCUCAUUCUUAUCAUGUGCAUAAGUGUGUGCAUCAUUAUCAUUCAAAAC